rnacentral:rRNA from 1 species
AGUGAACGCUGGCGGUAGGCCUAACACAUGCAAGUCGAACGGCCGCACAGUAAGAGCUUGCUCUUACGGGUGGCGAGUGGCGGACGGGUGAGGAAUACAUCGGAAUCUACUUUUUCGUGGGGGAUAACGUAGGGAAACUUACGCUAAUACCUCAUACGACCUACGGGUGAAAGCAGGGGAUCUUCGCACCUUGCGCGAUUGAAUGAGCCGAUGUCGGAUUAGCUAGUUGGCGGGGUAAAGGCCCACCAAGGCGACGAUACGUAGCUGGUCUGAGAGGAUGAUCAGCCACACUGGAACUGAGACACGGUCCAGACUCCUACGGGAGGCAGCAGUGGGGAAUAUUGGACAAUGGGCGCAAGCCUGAUCCAGCCAUACCGCGUGGGUGAAGAAGGCCUUCGGGUUGUAAAGCCCUUUUGUUGGGAAAGAAAAGCAGCAGGUUAAUACCCCGCUGUUCUGACGGUACCCAAAGAAUAAGCACCGGCUAACUUCGUG